UAGGGAAUCUUCCACAAUGGGCAAAAGCCUGAUGGAGCAACGCCGCGUGUGUGAUGAAGGGUUUCGGCUCGUAAAACACUGUUGUAAGAGAAGAAUGACAUUGAGAGUAACUGUUCAAUGUGUGACGGUAUCUUACCAGAAAGGAACGGCUAAAUACGUGCCA
rnacentral:rRNA from 1 species